rnacentral:rRNA from 1 species
GGGACGAACGCUGGCGGCGUGCUUAACACAUGCAAGUCGAGCGGUAAGGCUCCUUCGGGAGUACACGAGCGGCGAACGGGUGAGUAACACGUGAGCAAUCUGCCCUUCACAUCGGGAUAACCUCCGGAAACGGAGGCUAAUACCGGAUACGACCACCGAUGGCAUCAUCUGGUGGUGGAAAGUUCCGGCGGUGAAGGAUGAGCUCGCGGCCUAUCAGCUUGUUGGUGGGGUAACGGCCCACCAAGGCGACGACGGGUAGCCGGCCCGAGAGGGUGACCGGCCACACUGGGACUGAGACACGGCCCAGACUCCUACGGGAGGCAGCAGUGGGGAAUAUUGGACAAUGGGCGAAAGCCUGAUCCAGCAACGCCGCGUGAGGGAUGACGGCCUUCGGGUUGUAAACCGUCUUUCAUCCACGACGAAGCGAAGUGACGGUAGUGGGAGAAGAAGCACCGGCCAACUACGUGCCAGCAGCCGC